rnacentral:rRNA from 1 species
GACGAACGCUGGCGGCGUGCUUAACACAUGCCAGUCGAACGGAAAGGCCCUGCUUUUGUUGGUUGCUCGAGUGCCGAACGGGUGAGUAACACGUGAGUAACCUGCCCUUGACUUUGUGGUAACUUCAGGAAACUCGGGCGCAUACCGGGUAUGAUCUCCUGCUGCAUGUUGGUGGUUAGAAAAUUUCGGCGGUUGUGGCUGGACUCGCUGCUUAUCCGCUUGUUUGGGGGGUAGUGGCUUACCAAGGCUGUGACGGGUAGCCGGCCUGAGAGGGUGGCCGGCCACAUGGGGACUGCGAUACGGCGCAGUAGGCAACGGGCGGCAGCAGUGGGGAAUAUUGCGGAAUGGGCGGAAGUCUGAUGCAGCAGUGUCGCGUGCGGGAUGACGGGUUUCGGGUGGAGAACCGAUUUCGACUGUGACGAAGAGUGAGUGACGGUAAUGGGUAAAGAAGCACCGGCUAACUACGUG